CCAGCUUUCUUGUUAGGAAUCUGCCUGGUAGUGGGGGAUAACGUCCGGAAACGGGCGCUAAUACCGCAUACGUCCUGAGGGAGAAAGUGGGGGAUCUUCGGACCUCACGCUAUCAGAUGAGCGUAGGUCGGAUUAGCUAGUUGGUGGGGUAAAGGCCUACCAAGGCGACGAUCCGUAACUGGUCUGAGAGGAUGAUCAGUCACACUGGAACUGAGACACGGUCCAGACUCCUACGGGAGGCAGCAGUGGGGAAUAUUGGACAAUGGGCGAAAGCCUGAUCCAGCCAUGCCGCGUGUGUGAAGAAGGUCUUCGGAUUGUAAAGCACUUUAAGUUGGGAGGAAGGGCAGUAAGUUAAUACCUUGCUGUUUUGACGUUACCAACAGAAUAAGCACCGGCUAACUUCGUGCCAGCAGCCGCGGUAAUACGAAGGGUGCAAGCGUUAAUCGGAAUUACUGGGCGUAAAGCGCGCGUAGGUGGUUCAGCAAGUUGGAUGUGAAAUCCCCGGGCUCAACCUGGGAACUGCAUCCAAAACUACUGAGCUAGAGUACGGUAGAGGGUGGUGGAAUUUCCUGUGUAGCGGUGAAAUGCGUAGAUAUAGGAAGGAACACCAGUGGCGAAGGCGACCACCUGGACUGAUACUGACACUGAGGUGCGAAAGCGUGGGGAGCAAACAGGAUUAGAUACCCUGGUAGUCCACGCCGUAAACGAUGUCGACUAGCCGUUGGGAUCCUUGAGAUCUUAGUGGCGCAGCUAACGCGAUAAGUCGACCGCCUGGGGAGUACGGCCGCAAGGUUAAAACUCAAAUGAAUUGACGGGGGCCCGCACAAGCGGUGGAGCAUGCGGUUUAAUUCGAAGCAACGCGAAGAACCUUACCUGGCCUUGACAUGCUGAGAACUUUCCAGAGAUGGAUUGGUGCCUUCGGGAACUCAGACACAGGUGCUGCAUGGCUGUCGUCAGCUCGUGUCGUGAGAUGUUGGGUUAAGUCCCGUAACGAGCGCAACCCUUGUCCUUAGUUACCAGCACCUCGGGUGGGCACUCUAAGGAGACUGCCGGUGACAAACCGGAGGAAGGUGGGGAUGACGUCAAGUCAUCAUGCCCCUUACGGCCAGGGCUACACACGUGCUACAAUGGUCGGUACAAAGGGUUGCCAAGCCGCGAGGUGGAGCUAAUCCCAUAAAACCGAUCGUAGUCCGGAUCGCAGUCUGCAACUCGACUGCGUGAAGUCGGAAUCGCUAGUAAUCGUGAAUCAGAAUGUCACGGUGAAUACGUUCCCGGGCCUUGUACACACCGCCCGUCACACCAUGGGAGUGGGUUGCUCCAGAAGUAGCUAGUCUAACCGCAAGGGGGACGGUUACCACGGAGUGAUUCAUGACUGGGGUGAAGUCGUAACAAGGUA
rnacentral:rRNA from 1 species